rnacentral:pre_miRNA from 12 species
UUUGCAGUCAGUAACGAGGAUUCAUCCUUGUGUCCAGCAAAUAACAGGGAGAAUCUUUGUUACUAUGUGCAAUUAACAGCAUGUCGC